rnacentral:lncRNA from 1 species
AAGGACUGAGCGCAGCCAGCCAAGGUUGUGGGCUGUCUUUGCCCUUCUGUGUGAAUGGGGGUGUGGAGUGGGGAAAGUCGGGGGCCAGGGGCUGCGCUGGUGACACCUGCCUGAGCACUUCUGUCCUGGGGUGGGUGCAGGUGUUUGUGCUCUGGAGGACCUGCUCUUUGGGCGUCCAAAUGUGUUUCACAGCCUGUGCAUUUUGCCUGGUGGUGUCAAGGACGCAUAUGACAUGGACAGCCAUGGUGUGUAUUUUUACUGCAGAGCCCAGGGAUUUUCCCAUAGGUGUUUAAAGACAAUCACAUCUCCUAUUGAAACUCAAUCUCUUCUGUCCUGAAACAAGCAAAUAAAAAGAAAAACUGGCAUCUGUGUUUCCAGAGAAUCCCAGAAAGUCUCAGAAGAGGCACUGCUGUAAGGCGACUGGCUUCUCAUUAGCCAAGUGGCCUCCCCAUGUCUUCCCCAGACCAGUCAAAUAAAAAGGUCUGGCCUAGGGGCUGACGGAGAAGCAGCCUGAAAAACGAGGGUUUCCAGAGGCCUCCUGCCAGGCAGAGGCCAAGAAAAAAACAGAAAAGGAAGAGAAACUGCGAUGAGAACUCAGGGCUCAUCAUGGAGCCUUCACUGUCCUGGGGCAGGUUGGGGGAGGCGCUCUGAUUUCUGAGUCCAGCUGAGCACUCAGAUAAAGCCUGUUGGAGUGCUGUUCUCAGAGGCCUGCCUCGUCUCGCCUGAAAUUAUGGGUGUGCGUGCCUGCCUGUGGUGGGUUGGGGAGUAAAUUGGGUAGCUCAGCCUCCGGGGAAAGUCCCCAGGGCCUCCCAACCAUCCCUUCACACCCACAGUGCUUAGCCACCCACAUUCGCUCCUCUAUCUAAGGUCUACUUCCUCUCUCUACUUCCCCUGGCCCAGUCUCUCCACGGUAGAGAGUUGUCUGGGGGGACAACUCACCCCAUCCCCAAGCUCUGGGUGCUGUGAUAGAGUGGGAGUUUGAGGCAUGAAAAAUAGCUAGUGGCCCUCCUUGGCAGGGCAUUGGCCGAGGAUGUGGCAAGUUUGCUUUGGCUGUGGGCACGGUCCCUGUCUCUGAGGCUUACCCUCACGGUGGCUGGUGAACAUGGUUUUAUGCCUGGGAAUUUUAAAGGAUGUGGGAGGGGCCUUCCUUCCUCAGGAGCCAGUGUCCUGGGACUGGAUGAUACCAAAGGUGUUGAAGAAUAAAAACAAUGGGGUAAUGUUUGUGUUUCUGCCUGGACAGUACUGCAUAGCGGUUAUGGGUGGGCUUUGGGGUCAGAUGGGACCUUAGCUCUGCCACUUGCUGGUAGGUCUUCUGGCAAGUUCCUAACCUCUCUGAGCCUCAAUUUCCUUGUCUGAAAAAUAGAAGUAAAAGUAUUAAUCGUAUUGAUUCUUUUUUUUUUAGGCAGGGUCUCACUCUGUCACCCCAGGCUGGAGUGCAGUGGCAGGAUCACAGCUCACUGCAGCCUUGACCUUCUGGGCUCACGCGAUUCUCCCACCUCAACCUCUGGAGUAGCUGGGACCACAGGCAGGCAACAUCACACCUGGCUAAUUUUUUGGGUAUUUUUUUGUAGAGAUGGGGUUUUGCCAUGUUGCCCAGGCUGGUCUGAAACUUCUUGAGCUCAAGCAAUCCAUCUGCCUCGGCCUCCCAAAGUGCUGGAAUUAUAGGCAUGAGCCACCGCACCUGGCCUGUAUUGUUCUUUUGAAGAUAAAAGGAGAUCACGUUUAUUAAGCAUUCUGCACAUAUGUUCACUCUUUCCACAAUAUUUGCACACCCAGCGCAUAGUAAACACAUUAAAUAGUGGCUUUUAUU